rnacentral:rRNA from 1 species
AUUGAACGCUGGCGGCGUGCCUAAUACAUGCAAGUCGAACGCAGUGGGGACGGGUGAGUAACACGUGGGUAACCUCCCAUCAGAGGGGAUAACACUUGGAAACAGGUGCUAAACCGAUACUGAUGUAUGGCCCCGCGGUGCAUUAGCUAGUUGGUGAGGUAACGGCACACCAAGGCCACGAUGCAUAGCCGGGCUUGGGUGGUGGUCGACCACACUGUGACUGAGACACGGCCCAGACUCCUACGGGAGGCAGCGUGAGGGGAACUUCGGCAAUGGGCGAAAGUCUGACAGAGCCACGCCCGUGGAGUUAAGAGAGUUUUCGGAUCGUAAAACUCUGUUGUUAGAGAAGCGGUAUCUAACCAGAAAGCCACGGCUAAGUACGUGCCAGCAGCCGCGGUAAUUC